GUGGAGCAUGUGGCUUAAUUUGACUCANCGCGGGGAAUCUUACUAGGUCCGGACCGAUUCUAUGAUCGUCGUACUGUGGGGUGCUACGUGAUUACUGGAUGAGUGGUGCAUGGCCGUUCUUAGUUCGUGGUGUUAAUUGUCUACUUAAUUGUUUCGAUUUACGUCUCGCGACUAAGUCUACGAACGAACGAGAUCGAGACCCGUGGUUGCGUAUGUUUGAAUUCGGUAUUACUACGGGGAUCGCGUAUUACUCCACGGUACGAUCGAAAGACUCGGCAAUAACAGGUCUGUGAUGCCCUCAGAUGUUCUAGGCUGCACACGUGCUACAGUGUGGCGCUGUAUCGUGUGUGUAUGCAGAGAACUGAUAAGAUCCCCCGCACCGAGUCAUAACUGGUCACACGGUUGGACUCACCGAUUGUCAAUUAUUCNGUAUACUAA
rnacentral:rRNA from 1 species